UAUACCUUCUAUAAGCAAUCUUCGUAGUUUCGUAAAUUUAAACGACAAAAACAGAACUCUCCAAAUUAUUCAAUCGUUUCGCGUUGCAACGCUUUAUUAUUUUUAGGUUUUCAAAUCGUCAAAAGAUACAUAUAAUGGCUAUAUUGGACUAUGGUAAAUGUUCAGUAAUACGGUUUCCUCACAAAUAUCAUAACUAAAACGAAAAUUUGCGAAUCUGAAACAACUUUUUUCAAUUUUGUCAAUUUACCAAACCGUGAAAAGAUCCCUUUAAUAGAAUUUAUUUGCUUUCUGUUUUAUUUCACAAUUUAUUGUAAAUAUUCUAAAAUGAUAAUUUAGUAUUUUAAUAUCCAAAUAUUUGAAAUUACCACCUACUCAACAAUUCGAGAAGAACGCAAAUAAUUUAUAAUGUCUCCAAAACAUGCCUUCGUUUCCUAUGUACCCAAUCAUUUAUUAAAGAAAAAAAGCAAUAUAUUUUUAAUAUUCGCAUAUUAGCAUGCUCACUCAGUCCAUUGAGUACAAACUGCAAAGUCACGAUAGACGAAUACAUCAUAGAUAAGGCAUCUAGUGCAAACGGAAGGAGUGUAUAAAUGCUAGUGUAUCAAUUGUACGAUAAUUUAGCUAAAAUGUUUGUAACUAAAGUAGUAUUAUUUAAUUUUAUUACUGAAAUUUUAUAUUAAUAAUGGAAAUUGUUCUAUCUAUUGAUUGCUAUGUAAGCUUACCAAAAGGAGUUCAUAAUUUGUCAACUGGGCAUGAACAUGUUAUUCUGUACGCUCCCAAUAGGUCCUCGUCUUGUUGUCCCGUUUGUACAUCAGACAAUGGCCAUGCUGGGGAUUACAUCAACGACAUAUUGGGCGGGAAAGAAUGCUUAUCGACGAGAUUUCUAUCAAAUUUAGGAAUGAAACUCCGGACACAUUAUAAGGAGAGAAAUUCUUAUAACCAUCCGAUAGUUUACACUGCAAGAAAACAUACAAUGCGGAAUUAAUUAUUUUUUAAAGCCACAUUACCGUUAAUUGUGACUUUUGUUAUACAUUUAACCCUUUAUCAAAUUUACAAACAUAUGCAAUUCGAAAGAUUUAGGCUCAAUAAAACACACAGUGCAUCCAAAGUACAUGGUAAUCAUUUUAGACCAGAAGCGAUAUUCGUCGCUGUGGAGUGAUGACAAUGUGGAAUUUCAUACAUUUUAAAUACGAAAGGCAAUAAACAUUCAGAAAUAACUUUGGCAAAUGCGUUGUCGUAAGGUAAACAGACUCGAACAAGAAAUCUUAGAAGACUCACAAGCAAUGAAUACACAUUACAAAAACAAACAAACACGGGCAUCGAUUUAAUUUUUAAGCAAUUACUAUGGAAUUUUUCAUUAAAAUUUAUAAAAUUAUAAUUUUUAUAAUAUGCAUUAUUAUACAUAUUAAAACGGUCGCACAAAA